rnacentral:rRNA from 1 species
UACGUAGGUGGCAAGCGUUGUCCGGAUUUAUUGGGUUUAAAGGAUGCGUAGGCGGUCUAUUAAGUCAGCGGUGAAAUACUCCAGCUUAACUGGAGGGGUGCCAUUGAUACUGAUGGACUUGAGUCAAGUCGAGGUAGGCGGAAUUGACGGUGUAGCGGUGAAAUGCUUAGAUAUCGUCAAGAACACCAAUAGUGAAAGACAGCUUACUGGGCUUAAACUGACGCUGAGGCACGAAAGUGUGGGGAUCAAACAGG